GGAGGCUGAGGCAGGAGGACUGUGAGUUCAAAGCCAGCCUCAGCAACUUAGCAAGGUCCUGAGCAACUUACCGAGACCCUUUCUCAAAAUAAAAGAUAAAAAGGCCCGAGGAUGUGGCUCAGUGGUUAAGUGCCCCUGGGUUCCAUCCCCAGUACCACAAAAAGAAAGAACAAAGGCAUCAACAGCACAUAAACUGACAAAUGGCUUGUAUCCAGAACAUUUAAAAAUGGACAACUCAACAGAAACCAGCCGAGACACUUGAACAAGCACAUCACAGAAAAAAACAAAAGGACAGACAGAAGGUUAAUGUGUAAAAGAAAAGACGUUCUAUGUCCUGACUCAUGGGAAACGCAAAUUAAAAUGACAGUGAGCUGCCACCUCACGCCCACCAGGAUGACUUAAAGAGAGACAGCCGACAAUGCCGACGUUGUCGUGAGGGCCCGAAGCAAUGGAAAUGUCUCCUGGGGGCUGGUGGGAGAGAGAUUGUUACAAUGACCUUGGAAAACUCCUGGGUGGUAUCCACUAGAGAUGGACAGACAUAGACCACGGGACUCAGGCAUCCUGCUCCCAGGUUUAUGUCCAGGAGAAGUGUGUGUGUGUGUGUGUUCACCCACAGAAUCGGCUCUAGAAUGUUAAGAACAGCAGCAAACACGGAUCCCCACUGCCUGGUGGAUAGGUAAAUAGACCAGGGAACAUGCACACAAUGGAUACUACUUGGCAACCAGGAGGAAUGGAUUGCAUUUAUCAGCCCAACCCAGAUGAAUUUCACAACAGUCAUGCCGCGGGAGAGAAGUCAGCCCACGAGUCCACACUGCACAUUUCUAUCUGUUAUCCUAUGCAAAAAAAAAAAAAAAAAAGGCAAAAAUGGAACUACUGUGGAUCGGGAGGCAUACCUAGGUAGGAAAAGCAAAGUCAGGUCGACGUCAGCAAAGUAGGUUUCUCC
rnacentral:lncRNA from 1 species